UACGUAGGGGGCAAGCGUUGUCCGGAUUUAUUGGGCGUAAAGAGCGUGUAGGCGGCCAAGCAGGUCCGCUGUGAAAACUCGAGGCUCAACCUCGAGACGUCGGUGGAAACCGUUUGGCUAGAGUCCGGAAGAGGAGAGUGGAAUUCCCGGUGUGAGCGGUGAAAUGCGCAGAUAUCGGGAAGAACACCCGUGGCGAAGGCGGCUCUCUGGGACGGUACUGGACGCUGAGACGCGAAAGCGUGGGGAGCGAACGAGG
rnacentral:rRNA from 1 species